CUCGUAGUUGGAUUUCUGUUAAUAAUUUAUAUAAAAUAUUUUAAUUAAUAUUUAUAUAAUAUUAACAUAAUUCAUAUUACUAUAAUUAUUUUUUAGUAUAUGAAAUUUUACUUUGAGAAAAUUAGAGUGCUUA
rnacentral:rRNA from 1 species